AUGCCAAUGGAGGCGGCCAUGGGAGGCAAGCGGCUACGCCUCCAUGAUGCUGGGGCGGGGCAUCCGGUGUCGCCGCCCAGCAAGCGCCGCCGCGACGGUGGUGACCACGACUCCCGCGCAAGCAAGAAGCAGGCAGACAGGCGCUCCUCUUCCGCUUCUGCCGUCGCGCAACUUUCCUGCGCCAGGAUCAGGCCGUAUGUGCGUGCGUCGCGACCCAAGGAGGAGAAGACCGAGGUCAGCGCCGGCGACAAAGCCCAGGUCGUGAUUAAAAAGCAGAACGCUGACAAGCCCGUCUCUUGCAUGACCGGGAACAGGGCGGCGGUGCAGGCGCCCCUCCCCACAGAGCCGUCGAGCCAGGUCAGAGCCCGCGCUGUCGCAGACGACGUGAAGCAGAAGGCCGGCCAGGGAACUUCAUGCACCAGGACCAGGCCGGCGGUGCAGGCGUCGCGCCUGAACGGAGAGAUCAAGUUCAUCAGCAGCGGCGUCAGCGUUCUCCGCAACGGCGCGCACGGCGUGACCAAGAACGAGAAGCAGCAGGAGUCCGGCGAGCGGGCCCAAGCGAUCGCAACGGCAAGCAUCCCGCGGCAAGCUCGCCCGGCGCCGCCGUCGAUACCAAAGGAUCCCAUUGACCCGGACAAUGAGUUCCGCGCGGCCCUUGCGGCGGCUCGCCAAGCCAUAGUCAGGCGGCGGCGGGAGGAGGCUCGCCGAGAGAGGGACAAGGUGGUGCAGACCGUCUACUUCAACGACCCUAACAUGACUCUCGAGAACCUGCUCAAGGCCCAAGCCCUGAUUGGUUCAUGCUGA
rnacentral:rRNA from 1 species